rnacentral:rRNA from 1 species
AGCGAACGCUGGCGGCAGGCCUAACACAUGCAAGUCGAACGGUAGCACAGAGAGCUUGCUCUCGGGUGACGAGUGGCGGACGGGUGAGUAAUGUCUGGGAAACUGCCCGAUGGAGGGGGAUAACUACUGGAAACGGUAGCUAAUACCGCAUAACGUCGCAAGACCAAAGUGGGGGACCUUCGGGCCUCACACCAUCGGAUGUGCCCAGAUGGGAUUAGCUAGUAGGUGGGGUAAUGGCUCACCUAGGCGACGAUCCCUAGCUGGUCUGAGAGGAUGACCAGCCACACUGGAACUGAGACACGGUCCAGACUGCUACGGGAGGCAGCAGUGGGGAAGAUUGCACAAUGGGCGCAAGCCUGAUGCAGCCAUGCCGCGUGUAUGAAGAAGGCCUUCGGGUUGUAAAGUACUUUCAGCGGGGAGGAAGGCGGUGAAGUUAAUAACUUCACCGAUUGACGUUACCCGCAGAAGAAGCACCGGCUAACUCCGUGCCAGCCGCCGCCGCUG